UACGUAGGGGGCAAGCGUUGUCCGGAUUUAUUGGGCGUAAAGAGCGUGUAGGCGGCCCGGUAAGUCCGCUGUAAAAGCAAAGGCUCAACCUUUGAAUGUCAGUGGAUACUGCCGGGCUAGAGUCCGGAAGAGGCGAGUGGAACUCCUGGUGUAGCGGUGGAAUGCGCAGAUAUCAGGAGAACACCAACGGCGAAGGCAGCUCGCUGGGACGGUAC
rnacentral:rRNA from 1 species